AAUGACGAAAUUUUAUAACUAAUGUUAAUUUUUUGGACUCUCAUUUUGAAAAAAAAAGAUUUAGUAUAUACAAGUUGGUCCAUGAUUACUUCUUAAGAGCUCAAGAUGAGGCGCAGCACCACUCGAAAACGUUAGGAAUGAAAUGCCCAUAAAAUUGGACAAGUCCCAAGAAUGAUUUGACAUCAGAGACAUUUGAAAGUAGAGGGAAAUUUAGGACAGUGUUUACCAAUUCAGGAUCCAAAGACCUUCCUUCUUCGGAUAUUUGGAAACCGAGAUAAUUUUAGAAAAAACCAACACGUCGUCAAUGUAGAUUUUGAACGAAAUCACAAUAUGGAUUGGUUGACGGCAGUGCAAAUGAAGUUUGAAUUUUGUGACUUCGAGUCAUCAAAUUUGACAUCAAGAGAAACUUCGGCAUAAGUUGGAACUUUGCUUCCUGCAGAAACCUUAACAAAAGAAGUCUUUUUUCGAUUGCCUCCAUCAGGAACCCUAGAUAGGGGCACGAGAUUAGCAUAGCCUCUUAAGUUUAGAAGAAAUCUGGCUCUCUUCCCAUGUAUGGACAAAUAUAUGUGUGCUCGAUCGUUAUCAUCUCGUUUAGAAAGGCUUAAGACGGUUGAGCAGGAAGGAGUAGGAGUCCCCUUACAACAGGAACUAAAAUGGUUCGCCUUCCUGCAUUUAAGGCACUGCUUACCCCAAGCAGUACAAGCCCCGUUCACGAAUUGGUGCGAAGUGUUGCAGAACUUACAAAUUUGAGAGGGCUUCUUUGAUAUCUUGGUAUUCUUUUUUCCUCGUUCCAGGCCUUUAGUGACUUUGUACUCCGACAUCGAAGCAGGAGUUUCAAACGGACAUGACGUCUUCGAGGUCACGGAGACCUUCCUAGACAGCAGUUUGGCGGAGCUUGGGAUAUGAGGUACCCUUCAAAAGGGAGCCGAGGACCAUGUCAUCUUCAUAAGACGCUUCAAACCCACGACAAAAAUUUUUACAGAAGUGUGACUGCUUUCUAAAGCGAAUAAUGAAGUCAUCCAGGGACUCACCCGCACUUUGCUAGAUUUCAGACAGGAGAUGAUGCUCACAAAAAAACUAACUCGACUCAAGAGAAGGUAUCGGUAAUACACCUUAACAGAGCUGAAUAUGAGUACUCAUUUGGGGUUUCCUCAAUUUGCAAGGUCUUCUUCCACUGUUGAAACUCAGGACCGGCACAAUGCAAGGAGCUACAAGGUUUUCCGCACUCAGUCUCGAGGAGGGGGCUCUAACUGGCUCUCUUUACAAAAACAAUAAUUUAAAAAAAUUAUUCAUUUAUAUUUUACACUUUGGUUAGCGCAGUUACAGAGAUAACUUACAGAAAAACUAGAAUGGGCACUUGGUAGACCACAAAAACUUUACUUAAAAUCCUAUUCCCUAACAAUUAACAAUAAUUUCAGGUAUCUAUAUCUUAAUUUGUUC
rnacentral:lncRNA from 1 species